CAACAUAUGUGUUUUGACUCGUGUGUAAUGUGCAGAGUCGGUUAUGUGAAAUAUAUUGUGUAUUUAGUUGGAAAUAACGCAGUUCCUGAUCCAGGAUGAAAAGUGCCUUAGUCGCUAAAAUGCAUCCAGACAGAGAAUUGCAAAUCAGUAAGCAGGAUCAGAGCAGAUGCAAAGACGAUACGACGCAAAAAAAGCUCCUUUUGACCUUUUUCUAUAUCUUUCAAGUACACGCUCACGGGGAAUGACAAUAUAACAUCAACUGCCGUAUGAUCCUAUACCAAGAGCUAGUUCUUAUAUCAGUCUGAAAUUUAAACAAACGUGUUCUUGGUACACUAAUUUGUUAUAACUUACCGAAGAAGCCAAACGAUUGACAAGAACCUCGAACGUGGUGAAAUGUGGAAUAAAGAAAACAG